rnacentral:lncRNA from 1 species
GCACAUGUGUGAACAAAACAAAACGUAACUUAACUUGGAGGACUGACUUUCACCUGUACUGUUUUUAUAAACUUACAUAAUUUUUCUAAAAUGAUAAUAUUGUCUGAAUUAAAUAAACUAUCAAAUUUGUAUGUAUUUGGAUUUUUACAGCAAUAUUCAGGUAGAAAUUUCUUUCUCUCUAAAUCUAAAGAUUUACAAGUCAUUAUAUAAUGAUAUUCGUCACCGAUUUCACUUGAAUUGCAUAGAUGACAAAGUCUGUCGUUUCGUGACAAGCCUCGCCAUCUUCCCGUCUCAAUUGGUAAACGGUGACUGCCGCAUCUAAAUUUGCAGUAUACAAAUAAUAAAUUAUUAGGCAAUAUGUUGAGAUAAUUCUCAAAUUUCAGAUUAUUUUUAAAAAUUCUAUAACAUAGACAUUUAUGUAAGGUUUCUAUCUGUGACAAACAUAAUUGUGUGAACUGAUCUUUAAGCUUUUGUUCCACACUUUUUG